UCUUGAGGUUCUUUGCGUUCUUUGCGUUCUUUGCGUUAUUUCUGUUCUUUGCGUUCUUUGCGUUCUUUGCGUUCUUUGCGUUCUUUGCGUUCUUUCCGUUCUUUCCAUUCUUUCCGUUAUUUCCGUUGUUGCUCUUGACCUGUCACCUAAUUUUCUGCCGUAAGUUUCUGUCUCUGUGGAGUUUAUUUCCGUUAUUUCCGUUAUUUCCGAUAUUUUUGUUAUUUCCGUUAUUUCCGUUGUUGUUCUUGACCUGUCACUUAAUUUUCUGCCGUAUGUUUCUGUCUCUCUUGAGGUUCUCUGCGUUCUCUGCGUUCUUUGCGUUCUUUCCAUUCUUUGCGUUCUUUGCGUUCUUUGCGUUCUUUGCGUUUUUUGCGUUCUUUCCCUUCUUUCCGUUCUUUCCGUUCUUUCCGUUCUUUCCGUUGUUU
rnacentral:lncRNA from 1 species